rnacentral:rRNA from 1 species
UACGGGGGGGGCAAGCGUUGUUCGGAUUACUGGGCGUAAAGGGCUCGUAGGCGGCCAACUAAGUCAGACGUGAAAUCCCUCGGCUUAACCGGGGAACUGCGUCUGAUACUGGAUGGCUUGAGUUUGGGAGAGGGAUGCGGAAUUCCAGGUGUAGCGGUGAAAUGCGUAGAUAUCUGGAGGAACACCGGUGGCGAAGGCGGCAUCCUGGACCAACACUGACGCUGAUGAGCGAAAGCCAGGGGAGCAAACGGG